UUUCCGUAGGUGAACCUGCGGAAGGAUCAUUAGCAUGUAAUUCAGUCCCCUUGGCUGUGUUAUAUAUAUACCCGCUCUGUGUACCUUCUCCUGUUGCUUCCGCUGGGUGUGUAAUUCGCCCGGCGGACGGGUAAAAAUAACCUCUGUGUAUUGAUGACAUCUCUGUCUGAACCGAAUAUAAAGCAAAAUGUAAAAACUUUCAGCAACGGAUCUCUUGGUUCUC
rnacentral:misc_RNA from 1 species